rnacentral:lncRNA from 1 species
UCCAAUUGUCUGAGAGAUUUUAUAAGUAAGGUUAUGGAAAUAUCAAGUUUAACUUAAGAUAGUUUCUAAUAUUUUUGAUACCAAUAUUACUUGUAUGACUUGUAUGUUGAAAAAAUCCUCCACCUGGUAGCUUAUAAUAGUGAAGAACCCCUUUAUAGUUGAAAAUACAGGCUGUAUGUUUGAGUUGAGUUGAAUUUAUGUUUUAGGUGUGUUCAGUUGGUCUUUUCCAUAUCUGCAUUCUAGCGAGUUAAUUGUUGCUCCAUCUUUUGUUCUUUUCUCUGCAAUUGAUCUGUACAUGAUAAAUUAUUCAUGAGGUUGUCUUUCGGUGGUUCCAUAUGGUGUCACCUCUGGUUUUCUAUGAGCCGGUCAGGUCUUAAGAGUAUGCAUGCUUUCUGUACAAGUUAGCUCUCUAAUUUCUGUACGUGUGACCGCUGUCUGAGUCUUGUCUUGUCCUUGAGUCCUCUCUUUGCCUCUUGAAAAAUAUGUCAAAAGGAGAAGACCCCAUGCAGGAAAAAUAUGUUAGGGACUGUUCUAAUAGGAUACUUUGCUAGUAUCAUAUAAAUGUCUACCUAACCUAAGUAGGUACUGUAGUCACCUCCUUCAAUUUUGACCAACUAAAAAUAAUUGCAUUUUUAUCAUCAUUCAUUGUGUAUUUGUUUUAGAUUCCAUCUAAAUGAAUUCCACUGCAUAAGAGAGAUAAAGUACAACAUGGUACUAGUAGCAACAUUCAUUCAUAUGCAAGGUUCUGUCCCCAUCUAAUCUCAUCAGUCAUCACUAUUCUUGUGCUUUAAAUUUGUGCCUGCAAACUAGUUCAUAAUUUUAGGGUGCUUUCAUUUUCAGGUCUGCCGGUACUGGGGUUCUGGCCAAGUCAGAUUGCACGUGGCUGUAAGAGUUUGUUUGUCCUUUAAGUUCAUAACUAUAUAGUUAUUGCAUAAGUCACAAAAACUGAGGCUGUUUGCUGGUUUUGUUGUCUUCAGGACUGUCAGCACCAAAAAUUUGCAGGUGGGAGGGCAUAUUUUUGGGUUUGCCAUCUCUAAUCAUUAGGUGAUGUUGCUCGCCUUUUCGUGGUCACGGAUCCCUAACUCGAAGAUUAUCCGUGCUUAAAUUCUUGUUCGAUUAAAGGGCGUUUGACACAUGUAAUGUGUUUGAAAGUUUAAAAGUGUACCGUAAAAUGUUACUUGCGUAGAAGUAAUUUUUUCAAAGGCCAAGUUAUUUAACUAACGAACACAACGUUUGGAAUAUAAAUGCACCGUACUAAAAAUAGUGUUGAGAACUAUUUUUCCAUAGUUGAAAUUUUUA